AGUGAACGCUGGCGGUAGGCCUAACACAUGCAAGUCGAACGGCAGCACAGUAAGAGCUUGCUCUUACGGGUGGCGAGUGGCGGACGGGUCAGGAAUACAUCGGAAUCUACUUUUUCGUGGGGGAUAACGUAGGGAAACUUACGCUAAUACCGCAUACGACCUACGGGUGAAAGCAGGGGAUCUUCGGACCUUGCGCGAUUGAAUGAGCCGAUGUCGGAUUAGCUAGUUGGCGGGGUAAAGGCCCACCAAGGCGACGAUCCGUAGCUGGUCUGAGAGGAUGAUCAGCCACACUGGAACUGAGACACGGUCCAGACUCCUACGGGAGGCAGCAGUGGGGAAUAUUGGACAAAGGGCGCAAGCCUGAUCCAGCCAUACCGCGUGGGUGAAGAAGGCCUUCGGGUUGUAAAGCCCUUUUGUUGGGAAAGAAAAGCAGCAGGUUAAUACCCCGCUGUUCUGACGGUACCCAAAGAAUAAGCACCGGCUAACUUCGUG
rnacentral:rRNA from 1 species